AAACCCUAGUUCUUCCUUAAAUCACCAAAUUGGAAGGGAAAUCAGAGCUUAAAUUCAUGAAUAAACGCGUAUAAACUAUCACCAAGUCAUGGAGAUCACAAGUUUGACCUCGUCAAGCUAAGUGGGAGCUGGAAAGGAAUGGAUCAAACGGGUCAAGUGCGCAAGGAAAGCUCGAACGGACGCAAACUGUAAGUAAAGCUUACACCUAUUUUUUUAGCAUACGUAUUUAUUCUAUAGGUGAUAAAUACAACAACAGAUCAUGUUCGAGUUAUGGUGAUAACCAUGCUUUGUAAUAAAUAUAAUUGUUUAGUCGUAUAGACCAAAUGGGUCAAAUGAUGGUGAUAACCUCAUAUGACCAUAUCGACUAAUGUUUGUUGUUAAGUCAUAUGCUUACAGGAACGAAUAGCAAUUUGGAUAAUUGCGUCAUCAUAGAAUAUUGAAUUAAUAAUAGCAAGGUAUAAACGGGUCUAUACGUUGACUCGGGCAAGGUGAUGUUCGUCUCAUUUCGGACGCCGAUCAAUCAAGAAUUCAAGAACCGAACACAAAGUUUUGAAGCUUCCGCGCUAAUCUAAUCUUGUUUUAGACAAUGUUUAUUUGUAAACACUAAACUCAAUGUUGUAUGUUUUAACUAGUUAGUUUGUAAACUAGAAUACCAUAACCAUGUAAACUUAGUUUUUAUAACUAAGUUUUGAAAU
rnacentral:lncRNA from 1 species